rnacentral:rRNA from 1 species
AAGCUCGUAGUUGAAUUUCGGGGUUCUACCGUUGGCCGGGCUAACCAGUCUGUACUAGCGUGUAGAAUUCCUACCUUCUGGGGAACCAUUAUGUUAUUAAUUUAGCGUGGUGGGAAACCAGGACUUUUACCUUGAAAAAAUUAGAGUGUUCAAAGCAGGCUUACGUCUGAAUACAUUAGCAUGGAAUAAUAAAAUAGGACGGUGGUCCUGUUUUGUUGGUUUCUGAAUCACCGUAAUGAUUAAUAGGGAUAGUUGGG